AGCCGCUGAUGACAAAUCCAAACAACUUUUCUGACACCUACUAUGACAGCUGAACUACAGCUUGUGAUUCUAAUUGUAACGCUGAGGCUU